rnacentral:rRNA from 1 species
CUCGUAGGCGGCUUGUCGCGUCUGCUGUGAAAUCCCGGAGCUCAACUCCGGGCCUGCAGUGGGUACGGGCAAGCUAGAGUGCGGUAGGGGAGAUUGGAAUUCCUGGUGUAGCGGUGGAAUGCGCAGAUAUCAGGAGGAACACCGAUGGCGAAGGCAGAUCUCUGGGCCGCUACUGACGCUGAGGAGCGAAAGCAGUGGGGAGCGAACA